rnacentral:tRNA from 2 species
GCGUGAGUAGUACAGUGGUUAGUAUUUGACCUUGCCAAGGUCGAGACCCGAGUUCAAAUCUCGGCUCGCGCA